rnacentral:rRNA from 1 species
UGGGGAAUUUUGGACAAUGGACGCAAGUCUGAUCCAGCCAUGCCGCGUGCGGGAAGAAGGCCUUCGGGUUGUAAACCGCUUUUGUCAGGGAAGAAACGAGUUUCUCUAAUACAGAGACUUAAUGACGGUACCUGAAGAAUAAGCACCGGCUAACUACGUGCCAGCAGCCGCGGUAAUACGUAGGGUGCAAGCGUUAAUCGGAAUUACUGGGCGUAAAGCGUGCGCAGGCGGUUAUGCAAGACAGAUGUGAAAUCCCCGGGCUCAACCUGGGACCUGCAUUUGUGACUGUAUAGCUAGAGUACGGCAGAGGGGGAUGGAAUUCCGCGUGUAGCAGUGAAAUGCGUAGAUAUGCGGAGGAACACCGAUGGCGAAGGCAAUCCCCUGGGCCUGUACUGACGCUCAUGCACGAAAGCGUGGGGAGCAAACA